GUUCUCGUACUAUCACCAAAGUUAAGCAAUGACGAGCCUGGUCAGUACUUAGAUGGGUGACCGCUUGGGAAUACCAGGUGCUGUAA